UCAGAGUUAACUGGUAGGCAAGAGGCAUUACCUCUUGUACAGCCCAUCUUCCUAUGUGCUUAUGGUCACAAUUUACUGUUCCUUCUGAGUCAAUACUAGAAAAGGGCCCAGUGGGAUAGCAGGUGCUGUGCUACUGGAGGAUCUGCAAAAUCAGGAGAGUCCUGACCAACUGUUGGCAUGAAAAAUCCGAGGUUAACAUCCCACAAGAUCAACUACUGAACCUACAAGUCCUGCCAUAGUACCUCAAGUGACCUUGUCAACUUUGAAAGCUGGUCGACAAUCCUCUUACUGCUCAGAAAUGCUGUCCACAGUUUUAGAACAGUGCUAGAUAAGGAUGCCAGCAAGAAUCUGCCUAUCCUCAUCUGCCUAUAUUCCCCUCUCACAUUCUCUGUUAUAAGAAGUCUAGAAAAACUCACAACAACUGACAGUUGAACCCAUGUAUAAAGACAGAAUGUCUCAAAAGAAUGUUGGCCACUACUUGGAUUAGGAAGGAAACCUUACAAAGCUAUCAGAGAUGUUCUAGUAACAAGAUAAGGCUAUUUCACUUCAACAUGGAAAAAAUCUGAUAUUGAAGUAGUCUUCAGUCCAGCAAGAUAGUUGUUCCUCAGGUUGGCCUUUAAUACUACAGGCAAAAAAGUGUCAAGAACUAAGUGCACCUACAUUUUUGUUCCCACAAUUAACUAAUUACCUAAAUGCUUCUACAAACAGAGGAGAAAAAACCUACAGGCUCCAUCAGAACUGUGCAAUCAGAACCAGAAGCCCAGUCGACAAGGCUGUUUUUAAAAAGUAGACCUUUAUGUAUAUACACAAUAUGUAAUGGAAGUGCUUAGGAUUCUGCAUUUACAGUUUCUAAAAGGCAUUCUAUUCAUAGACAUAAUUCAACCUUUCUAAUAUAUUUUGUUUUUCACUUCUUACUGGUGGUUUUUGUUUUGCUUAAAUUGGUAGAAAUAUUUGCAUAAAAAUAAGGCACCAGUUCCUCAGCUGGUGUAAAUCAGAAUAAUUUUAUUAGAAUCAGUGAAGCUAUGAUGAUUUUCACCAACUCGGGGACUGGUCCAUGGGGGUUUAACUUUAAGAGCCCAUUCGCUCAGCCAGUUUUUUACCCACUUGAAGCCAUAAUCCCCUAUAUGCAACAUCACAAUUAGUUACUGUAGAGAUAAUUGUGAUGUCAGAAACAGGAUUAUAACUUCAAGUGAUUAAAAAAGCAGCAGGAGUAGAUGGGCUCCUGGGGAACAAAUAUCUGAAGUUUUGGGCUAUUGUCCCUCAUGGCAAAAAGAGGGAAAAGCAAAAAAACAUAAAAUAUUAAAGGAAAAUAUUUCCCAAAUAUAUAUUUUUUCAGCAUUUUCCAGGAGGCAUUUACAGUUCUUUAAAUAGCCAUUUUCAAAGUCCACUGUUUGACACCCCCUCCCCAACCUUUUGGAGUGGGAGAGUAUAUCAUUAGGUAGUCACACUCCAGAAUGAAGAUCUACAAUUGUGUUUUUUACAUCACAGAUGACUAUUAUGCUUUAACAUUGCUACUGAAAUGGUAAUAAAUUUCCCACAUACAAAGGCUUGUUUUAAAAGCCAACAAUGUGUACUGUUUUUGAUGAAUCAUCUAAACAAGCUCACCAGCAAUUCUAGGGGUGUCAAGAAAGAAAGAAAGUCGAGAGAAUUAAAUACCCUUCCACUCCCCCACCCUAUAAGCAGGUCCAUAUUAAUGGAUGGACUAUGAUGAGUUUCCAACAUUUGCCAAGCCAAAUGAGUUGAAAAAUGAACCAGUUCUCUAGGACUUCAGGUUUCCCUUGCAUUUUGAAAAAUUAUGGUGUACACUUGUGCAUGCUACUCCAACCAAGUUUGUGAAAGUGGAGAUUCUAGAUACACAGGGUCAAAACGAGUGCUGUCUUUUCUGUUGACAACUAUAUCACACAGUUCCCUAAAUUCCUGAGUGGAACACAAAUGAAUCACAGCUAUAGCCAGUUGCUGGUCUACUGCAUGGAGCCACUGCACCUGAAAUCAAGUCUGCUCUAAAAAAGCUCACCAGCAAUUCCGGGGUCGAGUCUGAGAAAGAAAGGAAGUCAAGCUGAUGAAGAAUGCAAAAAAAACCCCUCACAUCCACGAUGUUAACAGCAAAAAACAUAAGGAAUAUAAAGAGAGAGCUAUUAGGCUAUACACAUUGUGAUUAGCAGCAAUAUUUUACCAAUGUAAUGGGAAAUCUUAGACUGAUUUAGAGGCACCCUACUUAACAUGCUGGUCCUUGCUAAACAUUUCAGGGAAGCUAUCAGCAGCAAGAAAGCAUCUUAGCAACUAUUUUGCUUUGUUCUGAAACCAAUAUGGCUGAAGUUUUAAAUAUUGCGUAUUUAAAUAAUGGAUUUUAAAAAUAUAUUAGCCUUAAAACAAUCCACCACCAGCAGCAUGUAUCUGACCCAUCUAAAACACACUUCUCUGUGGGAAAGAUAUAUAUGGGGCUUGGUUGCUUUUUGACUUGACAAACAAGUUGAUGGCACAGCAUUAUUUCUAAUAACUUCUAACGGCUCCUUCCUUUUUAGAAAGCAGAAAUUCAUUGCCAACACAUGGCUCCCAUUCACAAGAAUAUUUAUGGUGCUGAUAAUUGAAUUCCAGUCAUGUGACUCAACAAGGCUAACUUUUUUUUUUUUUUUAAGAUCAACUGUAAUUUCUAGACAUCUAUAAAUUUCUUCACUCUCUCCUUAGAGAGGAAGCUCCCUGGAGCUCUGCGGAUUCCCUCACUUUUAUUUAUCACCCCUCUCUUCUAAGCUAUGAAUGUCAUAAUUCUUCCUCGUAAAGAGCUGGACGCAGUUUCAAUCAAAAACACUCCUUGCAUCAACCAGAAGUCACUAAAGCGCAGCUAGAGUAACACAAGACACUCCCCACCACGGCCUUCGGGGACUGAGCACACUUUCUCCAUAGCACUUACAACCCCUACUGACUUAAGCUUGACACUGAAGUCAGGACUCUAACUUUUACCCUUCAUCACAACUGUGUUGCAAUCUGACUGUCAGCUGUAGCUGACUUUUGACCACUGUUGCCUCUCCACCUCUGUGAUUCAGCAGGGAGACUUUCUUAGCCUUCUAAAGCAGACAAAGAAACACUUUCCUAAAUGAUGUUCCUUUUAACAAUCUCCAUUCAGUGGAGGAACAAAGACUAAGGGCCUAAAACAGAGCAACAUCGGUGUAUAAUCUGUGGCAGCUCCACAAACUUCAAUGCAGUUACUCUAGUGUAAAAUCAGUGAGUGUGAUCAGAAUCAGGCUCUCGGUACGUGAGACAAUCACGCUAGCAUUAGCAAUGCCAUUUAUUACUUGCUCCAGUUCACAAAUAACAUAAAAGCAAUACAACUGGUUCUAUCUAUUAUUUAGUCAAAGUUUCCUUACAUUUCUGAUUCAACAGGUAAACAAAGCUACCAUUAGCCCAAGGCCAGUACAGUAGUAGAACAAUGUCUCUUAACAAGCAAAAAAAUGCCUAUUUUCCUGGCUCUUUAAUGGCUUUUUCAAAUAAAUGGGUUCUGACUGUAAAAAAGCCAUAACCUUUUAAAACGGCUGUCAAAUAAUUUUUAAGUAUAUUUUAUUGUUUUUGCUCUGCUUUGUUAAUGAUAAUUUAUUAAAAACUUAAAAUAUUUUUUCAAACCAUUUUUAUGCUCAGCAAUUUGGCAAAUGAACACUAUUUUUCUGUGCUUUGAACAGACCUUGAAUUAAUAUGACUAUUUUUGGUUCAACCAAAUUGACUUUUAUUGCGCUUUAUUGCCUCUAAAUAUCUUUUUGUACUCCAGCACAGAUUGUUGUUCUUUAAUGUUUCUUCAUUAAAAGAAACUCUACCAUUUUGCUCAGCCUAUCUGACUCCCAAAGCCAAAAAAUAUUUAUGAUCAGCAUGAAUAAACUGUGAAACAUAUAUUCAGACAUAGAUAAAAAACUGGCACCUUUAAGUGUAGUAUCAGUGGCAGUCAUCUUACUAAAAAGUCAUAGUAUAUAGAAGUGUGAGAACCCCAUACUAAAUACCUGGGAUGAAAUCCUGGUCCUAUUGAAUGGGAAUACUUUAAAACUGAAUUAACUGGGAUUGCGGAGAUGCAGGUUCUAUUCUCCGCUAUACCACUGCCUUGCUGUGAGAUCCUCAGCAAGUCAAUUUCACUGAUCUGUGUCCCAUUUUUUCCAUCUAUAAAAUAGGGACAAUGCUACUUACCCAUUUUUGCAAAGCUUUUUGGCAUCGCUAGACAAAAAGUGUUAAAUAUUGAGCGGCAUUUUAAAAGUAUAAAGUGUAAUAUAACUGAUAAGUAUCAAUCAUAAAAAAGAACUAUAAUAUUUAUACAUUUAAUAUUUGCAUAAAUGUCAUACAACUUCUUACUUUAGGAGAUUUUAGACUGCUGCUCUGAGCAAAAUGACUGGUGUUUUAACUAGUUCUUCAGACCCAGACAGGCAGCACAAAUUUGUGUGGUUUUUAUAGAUCCUACAAAAAUAGUUGUUUAAAAAAAACAUUUAUUGGGAAUAAAGUAGUAGAUGGCCAAGUGCCCUCUUCUAUCAUUGCUGUCAGACCAGCUUUCCUCAGAGGAGCCCUGCAUAUCUCUUCCAUGUAAAUUGUGUCUCUCCGUUUGUCCAUUUCAAUGGAGCUAUGACAAUUUACACAGUUUGAGGAGCUGGCCCCAGAAGUUUGCUUUUACUUUUUCUUCUUGGGUUUCUUUCCUCUUUGACUCAACUUUUCUUUCUCCCACCAAACAAUGUGAUAAGUAAGGCCUUGUUUUCCAGAUAAAUAGAGAACUCCCCACAAGCACAUUAGCCAAGUCCUGCUGCAAAAGGAAAACAUUGAUAAGUGGGUACAAAAAAGAUUCUCGACUACCGGCCACAAUUAAACUUCUUUUUAGAUUAAUCAUUACAGCCGAGUGCCCACACAAUGAAAAUAUUGUCAUGGUAGAUACCACCAGGCCUUUGAUUUUUAGAGGCCUGAGGUAAGCCUGGUUAUUCCCGACCCUUCAAAUCUUUCUGAGAAAUGUCUGCAGUGCCCAGGCUGCAGGCAACAGCUUCUAUUUAAAUGGCAGCCUCAAAGGAACAUAGCGAGCGAGAGUUUUUCACAAUAUUGUGAGUGCCUUUCUAAGACCAGCCUGCAGGUUUUGCAGUUGCCUGUGGCCAGCUCUGACUGUAUCUUUGCUGAAGCUUAGCUCCUACUGCCCAACAAAAAAGCUGGACGAGUUUUGCGUUUCAUUCUAUUAGCUGCUGCAAUGCAGUUGGAAUAAUUUACUUUUGUGUAUUUAAACUGGUGUGUAUGUGCUCAUAACACAAGAACUAGGGGCCACCAAAUGAAAUGAAUAGGCAGCAGGUUUAAAACAAACAAUAGGAAGUAUUUUUUCACACAACACAGUCAACCCAUGGAACUCCUUACCAGAGGAUGUUGUGAAGGCCCAGCCUAUAAAAGGGUUAAAAAAAGAACUAGUUAAAUUCAUGGAGGAUAGGUCCAUCAAUGACUAUUAGCCACGAUGGGCAGGGAUGGUGUCCCUAGCCUCUGUUUGCCAGAAGCUGGGAAUGGAUGAGAGGGGAUGGAUCACUUGAUGACUACCUGUUCUGUUCAUUCCCUCUGGGGCACCUGGCAUUGGCCAUUGUCGGAAGACAGGACAUUGGCCUAGAAGGACCUUUGGUCUGACCCAGUAUGGCCAUUUGUAUGUUCUUAUGUGAAUUCAGCGAUAGCGAGAGGUGCCAGAUUGAUCUACGGAACAAAUAAAGCCUGGGGCAGGUGCAGUACAAUUUUCCCCACACUGCUCCAUCAAUGUGCCUUAACCCUGACCUGGAAGAGCAAUCUGUAGGGGUGAGGAAGGAGUUUAAAGGCCAUGUUCAUUUAGGGUGCAAUUCACCUGUGUGCAGGAGGUCAGAAUAAGGCCUGUGCACCACCUGAACCACACUUAGACCCAGUUUCUUCCUCAGUCCUUUGUAUCUGCCGACACUGUCAACCAGGCUGCCAGUUACUGCCAGUUUUGGUAGUUUUUUUGUGAUGUGUCCUCUACAUCAAGAUCAUUUCACAAAGGCCAUCACAGAGCCAUCAGAUGUCACAAGGCCAGGUCCUUAGCUUGUGUAAAUCCGCAUAACUCCAUCAAAGCUGAGAUUAGAAAGUGUGUGCUUUGUUCCAAAAUUGGAACUUUGUACAAACAAAGAACAGUUUUAGCCUCAUCCAAAAGAAUUCCUAUAACACACUAAUAACCUGGACUAGAUUUGAAACAGAGGUCUAGAGGUAAAAAGAAUCUAGAGUUUAUUACUAAUCUCAGGAUUCACUCCCUUAAAUCAACCCUUUCUUUACUUUUCUUUCUAUAAAAAUGGCCUUGCACAAGUUAUGUUUCAUAAUAAAAAUUAAACUUCACCAUUAAAAAAUACAAUAGCACCCAGGAAACCUAAAAUUAAAAUAUCUUUCCUUACAAAGUUAUUUUCUUAGAGGUGUGGAAAGUGAUUUUAUUGUGGAUUUAUUCAAGAGCUGAAGAUAUUCUUUAUUUUUGUGCUGGUUUGUUAUGGUGCAUCAAUCCACAGUACUACAGAGAUAUUCACAGGCAAGCCACUGAUAUAAUAUAUUGGGUCAAUAACUAGUAACAAUCCAUAAUAAUAAAUAACAAUGCACAAUAUAGAUCCAUGUAAAGGAAGUCAUUUGCGCAAUAAAUUGUGCAUUAUAGAGAUCAACCAUUGUACAGAUCAGUAGAUCGAAGUAUUAUACAAAACCUAGAUAUAGAAAAGAACAUAUCUGAUCAUCCAGUCCAGCUCUCUGCCAAUGCAGAACAUUUUCUAGUGCUUUUUCCGUUCUGUUUUUAAAUGUCUCAGGCUAAGGGGCUUGCAACAUUUAUUUUGGGAGAAUAUUCCACUAAUACAUCUCACUGACAGUACAUUUUUAGCUGUACCCCCACAUACCAUCCUAUAUAAUUCUCUGCCCUUUCCUUGGUAUUCACACCCUUCACAUAUCUGUAGACUACAGUCAGAUCUUCUUUGGUCUUCUUUAGCUCACUUGAACUUAUUUUGAAUUUUUAGGGUCACACUGUGAUAUCCCUACAAUAAAUAGCACAUUAUUUCACAGCCCCAUUGACUUCAAGGAGAGUACCUGUGGAGUAAGGAGAUACUCAGUGUGAGUAAGGGGAUCACAAUCUGGCCCUUAAUCUUCACUCAUAAACCAUAUGACUAGCUCCCUGUUCCCCCAGUUUCUGCAGCUCUUUGCUGACUUUCCCAGAAGAUGUCAAUAUCUCUCUGCAGCACCCAGAACUGAAUUCCUGGGGCAGUUAAAGCUGAGCCAAACAGAGGGAGUUUACAACUAUCUUGACCCAUGAUGUGGUGCCUCAGAGUAAAUGAACAGACUAAAAUGACUUCAUCACAACUUUUGGCAACAUGACUCCUUUAAGAUUCUGCUCCUCCCAAGGGUGUUCUCCAUACCCCUUACUAGAACCCUGAGAAGGCAGUGUGACAAGCGAUUUCAAGGAGGGGUAAUGGUCAAGUCAGCUAAUUAUGGAGAAGGGAUUUUCAUAGUUUAACAAAAGUCAAUCUUCGAGGAGAUUAAAAACUGAGAGAAAACAAACAUUCCUGACCCCUAAAUAUAGAGCAGUAGAACAGAACAGCAUUUAAUGGUUUGUAAAUAUAAACAUAGAGCUACAGAUCUGUUGCUUAUUUCUACCAUAAUCCCUUUUCAAACUCAUUCUCCUAAUGUAUAUGAGAAGUAUUAAUUUUUAAACCUAUAUAAGUUCUUGGAGACAAUGCAGACUGACUUAAUUAUAAUCAAUAAAAUUUACAGACAGUGAUGCAACCCAGCAGAAAUGCUCCUACCAAAAAGUACAGCACAAGAUUACUCUACAGUUUCUCUGCUGCACUACAGUAAUAUGACCUUAAUAAAUAUUUUAUGAUAGACAAUGAAUAACCAACUAUCAAAAUGGCAAGUUUUAAUCACUAGGAAAUAAUAACUGAGCAAGUUUACUGAAGAAAACAGAUGUAUUCAUAAUAAGUAACUUAAAAUGUACUGUUCCGGGUGCAGUCUAGUCACCUACGAAGACUGUUCUGUGAAGAAGGCAAGGACUGCUCUAACUUCUGGCAUGUCCAACCUAUCACGUUGUAGAUUGCACUGUGUGAUAUAAUGGUUUUACUGGUGUACUCCAAAAGACAAAUAAUGGUCUUACUUUGGAAGCAAUCUACCCAAAUUCACCAUUUCUCUUUUACGUCUCACAAAAAUGUGCAUAAAAUGAAGAAGGUUAUAUUUCCCUACUGCAUUCACCUAUGAGGCAAUAGCACUCCUGUGGCUGGCUAUGCAAAUCCUCUGCAAGUGAAAAUCGAUACACGGACUCCUUCAAUGACCAGUGCUUCUUUUUACCAAUAAACCAGUAAGCCGGUAGAGACUUAGCAGAGAUUGAAACUCUCAGUCUCCAAUGUUCCAGAAGGUACACAGCAUUUGCCAAAAUUAUAGAGCCAAAUUCUUCUCUCAUGUACACCGAUGAAGCCUCGUUGCCUUUGAUGCGGUCACACGGUAUAACGGAGAACACAGUUUAUAAGACGAUCAUUAGCAUUUCUAUGGUUCAGUCCAGCUUGGUGGUACAGUAUAAUUAAUUUUACUAUUUCCAUUUGGAGAAGCUCCCCUUUGUCACUGGUAGAUACAAAAAUCAAAGGGAUAUGAACAGAACAACUUACUCUGUUUAUCUUAGCUAUUUAUAUGGCCCCUCUUACUGUAAGAGUAUAUGAGCACGAAACAAUCUUUUAAAGUAUUUAUCCUGGGAGGUAGUAAAGCACAAUUAUUUUCAUUUUACAGAUAGAGAACUAAGGCAUGGAGAAACUAAGUGAUUUGCCCAUGGUUACAUACGAUAUCAGUGGCAGAGGAAUAAUUAACAUGGGACUCCUACAGCCCACAGUAGGGUCCUAAACACCAGACUAUCCUUCCCCUCUCUUAAGUCACACAGGAAGUCUGUGGCAGCACAGGGAACUGAAUUCAGGAAUUCCACACUAGCACCCUAACCAUCCUUCCUCUCCUAUUCAGUCUUCCUUCUCCAUGCUAGUCCCAUUCUCCCCUCUUAGGGUAGGUCUACACUUCCGCUUACGUCGAUCUAACUUACGUUGCUCAAGGGUGUGAAAAAAACCCUCUCCUGCUGACAUAGCUUCCGCCUCUCGCGGAGGUGGAGUAAUUAUGCUGAAGGGACAGCGCUCUCCUGUCAGCAUAGAGUGUCUUCACCAGACGUGCUACAGUGGUGCAGCUGCAUCAGUGCUGCUACGCUGAUGUAGGGCUUCUAGUGUAGACCUUCCCUUAGUGAGUGCACACUAAUUUGCUCAGAAAAAGCAUGAUCUACAACCUGAGAGAUGUGAGAAGGCUCACUUAUUUUUGUGUGAUAAUAUUUAGCACUCAUAGAGCGGUCAGUAUCUUCAGAGUCCUGUACAAUGAUUCCCUAAUUAAUCCUCACAGCACCUCUGUAUGAUGAUUAUUACAGACGGGGACACUGAGAGACAGAGGGUUAGCUGCCUUGCCCAUUUUUGUGGCCCAAAGCCCAGGCUACUUCUUUAUAACUGUGUUUUAAACUGUUCUGUAUGAAGGGAUAUUGCCUUCUGUCUGUGACUGAUGAUUUGCUGUUGACAGUAUGAGUUUGAUAUCCAUAAAUAUAAAUGCUGAAUAACUAUUAAGUAAAGAAAAGAAGAUAUCUUCUUUUGUAAAUAUAUUUUAGCUGGCAUAGUAAAUUACAUGGAUGCAGAAGUCACUCGUUUCCAAAGCUCCACACAUUAUCAGCCUGUAUUAUUCAAUUUGAGGUUUUAAUUUAUAACAUACUCCUGGUAAUGUACUCCCAAUACAUUCCUUACUUCCCUUCUCUGUGAAUGACAAAGGAUGAAAGAUCUUUACUGUAUAAAUAUUUCAUACUAAA